CCCUUAGAUGUCCUGGGCCGCACGCGCGCUACACUGACGGAGCCAGCGAGCUUACCCCUUUGCCGAAAGGCAUGGGAAAUCUUUUGAAUCUCCGUCGUGCUGGGGAUAGAUCAUUGCAAUUAUUGAUCUUGAACGAGGAAUUCCUAGUAAGCGCAAGUCAUCAACUUGCGUUGAUUACGUCCCUGCCCUUUGUACACACCGCCCGUCGCUCCUACCGAUUGAGUGUGUUGGUGAGGAGUUUGGAUUGGCCUCGGAAGGUGGUUCGCCACCGUCCGUAGCUGAGAAGUUCUCCAAACCGCCCCACUUAGAGGAAGGAGAAGUCGUAACA
rnacentral:rRNA from 1 species